rnacentral:piRNA from 1 species
UAACAGUCAACAUAGUUCUUGGGGCAGU